rnacentral:misc_RNA from 1 species
GAGUUCAUGCCCUCACGGGUAGAUCUCCCACCCUUGAAUAUUCUACCUUUGUUGCUUUGGCAGGCCGCUUCGGCUACCGGCUUCGGCUGGUGAGUGCCUGCCAGAGGACCCAAACUCUGAAUUUAUAGUGUCGUCUGAGUACUAUAUAAUAGUUAAAACUUUCAACAACGGAUCUCUUGGUUCU